GAGAUCCCUUUAUUUCAAGUUAAAUGAUUAUUUGAAUAAGAUGCCAUUCAGGCAAUAAGGGCCUGGUUAGGUCCAUAUUUUAAUUCAAAUUAUUAAGUACUCGAUUUAUCCAUCAACAAAACCCAACAUUAAAAUUUCCAUCGAGUGAGAUGCAACAAAACCAUCUAUAGUUUAUUAAUUAUGUUAACCUAAUCCAUCAAUUGGCAAUGAGCCUACUUUAGUAAUAAUUUUAUAUACUCCAUCUCUAAUUUGCCCAUUAUAUUUAUAAACUGACAGUUAAAGGGUAUUGGCAACAAAAAAUUUUAUUGAUUUUAUUGCUUCAUCUGAAGGAGCA